rnacentral:rRNA from 1 species
UACGGAAGGUCCGGGCGUUAUCCGGAUUUAUUGGGUUUAAAGGGAGCGUAGGCCGUCUGGUAAGCGUGUUGUGAAAUGUCGGGGCUCAACCUGGGCAUUGCAGCGCGAACUGUCAGACUUGAGUGCGCGGGAAGUAGGCGGAAUUCGUCGUGUAGCGGUGAAAUGCUUAGAUAUGACGAAGAACUCCGAUUGCGAAGGCAGCCUGCUGUAGCGCAACUGACGCUGAAGCUCGAAAGCGUGGGUAUCGAACAGG